UAUAAGCUGUCUGCUUUCAAGCUCAGCUGUAUCACACAUCUCUCAUGUGCCUGCCUGCAGCGGUGUCCCCAGGCAGCAGCUAAUGGAUCAAAAAGACAGGAAAUAGCAGGCUGGUUCAGGAUUCUUCCUCUGAUGGUGAAGAUGCUCUGGCAACAACUGAGCUGGAUAAAUCAAUACUCUCCAUCUGCCAACACUGGCCCAUUCACAUUGGGCUGCCCCAUGCCAGGAAUCCUAACAAAGUGAGAAGAAUUCUUCAGUCCCUGGAGAAACAUCUCUCUACAACGAAAGAGAGAAAGAGAGAUGAGAGAGUCUGAAUGCUGACACCGUCUGGGAUUCCAUGUGAUGUACCUUGUCACCUUUUGAACAUAUGGGUUGAGGCCUGCUGCUUUGGAGAUUGAUUGACCAACCAGGUGGAAUGGUCAUAAAUGAGGACAUCAAGCCCUGGGAUAAAGGACAAGGGAACAUUAUUAUCAAAGUAAAAGAUAUGUUCAAAUUUGGUCAAUGUUUUGAGAUCAAAGACAGAUGUGUUUGGUGUCAUGUUGAUGUAACAUGGCUUCCAUUAUUCAGGUAAUUUGCUCUCUGUAACUUUAGCUGUCAUGGUGGCCACCCCGCUGCUGUGUACAGAUACCUGAGGAGGUGGUUCACGGUUCUCAUUGCACUUCUCAGUGUUGACCUAUGAUGACCAGAAUAAAUAUCAGACGUGCCAGCCAGGUGUGUUCAUUGCUAGCUUAGCCAGCCAGGUGUGUUCAUUGCUAGCUUAGCCAGCCAGGUGUGUUCAUUGCUAGCUUAGCCAGCCAGGUGUGUUCAUUGCUAGCUCAGCCAGCCAGGUGUGUUCAUUGCUAGCUUAGCCAGCCAGGUGUGUUCAUUGCUAGCUUAGCCAGUUACGGUUGAUUUCUCAACUCCUCCUCUUGCACUUGUAGCUCUGUGGAUAUUCUCUGAUGUAUUUAUUCAUAAUUCAGUGGAUUUCAGUCAUUAUCUUCAGUGUCUAUAUUCUAACCUAUCAAGACUGACGUCUCAGUUAGUUUCUUUUGGAGGAUGUCUAGGUGAUUCUGAUGGCUUCUCUCUGAUGAGCGAUCAGCACACAGCUUCAUAAUGUAUUUGAUGUGUGUGUGUAUGGCGGCUCCAUGCUAGCCAAUGACCAAUCACCUGUAACAAUAAACGAAUGUGCUGCAGGCGUGACGGCGGCGUGGGGAGAGAUGCAGCGGCAGCGAGCACGGCCACUCGCUGGACUAAUUAACCAGGCGUAUAGACAGGGCUCUGUGCCGCAACCCAAGACAAUUCCAAUCUGAAGAGCUGUAAUUGAAGUGACAAGUUAAUUACAGCCUGAUUAUUAUCAUGCUUUCAUUGUAGCCCCCCUUCUCCCCCUUUCCCCCUCUUUUCCCACUCUCUCAUAUCUCUCUGGAUCUCCCCCUCGUUUACACACUCGUCCAUUUUCUCUUUUUCCCACAGUCUCUCUCGUUCCCCUCUCUCUCUCUCUCCCUCUCUCUCUGGAUCCCUCUUUCCCUUUCUCUUUGUAUCUCUCUAUCUUCUCCUACUCCCUCUCUACCUGUGAUGAGUUAAUUAAAGAUGAUCACCCAA